GCCGAUGUAGCUUUAAUGGUAGAGCAGUCCCUUCGUAAGGGAAAGGUUGGAGGUUCGAAUCCUCUCAUCGGCUCCA
rnacentral:tRNA from 1 species